rnacentral:lncRNA from 1 species
UGAGACCUAGAUAUUUCCCAGGUGUUGGGGUUCGACCGCGUCGUCUUCUAGCCUGCAGUAUAUAGAGACAACAACAUGAGGAUAACGUAUUGCUAUGAACGUGAAUGUAAGCAACAAUAACGUCAAUAUAGAAUCAAAGUUUAAAUAUUUUGGCCUAAUAUAUAUCUAAACCCAAGCAUUUUCCAGAGUAGGAUUUUGAUAACCAUAAAAAUCAAGGGAACAUGGAAUAACAAGAUAAAAAUGCAAGAAAAAUAGAAGAGGGAAAUGCAGGGCAUACAACCCCAAGGAUCUGAUACUUGUUGAUGUAUUUGAUUUGUUUGUUUAGUUGAGAUUUGAGAGUUUGAUGAAGGGCUGCUUCACACAGCUAACCUGCUGCAACAGAAACUUCAAAGGGAAAGAAGCACAAAACUUUCAAAUAUUAUAAAGAACUUGAAAAGCAAAUCAUCCAUAAUGUGAAGCCCUGAUACUCCAAAAAUGAUGAAGUAUCACGUCCGACACGUAUCCAAUACCGAUACGUGUAUCAGAGAAUUACCGGGCAAUUAAUAUAAUUUAAAAAAAAAAAAUGACCAAUACAUGUUGGAUACUAUUGGGUAAUUAAUGUUCUUUGAUGAUGGAAACUAAGGAGAGGAGACUGAUACAAUCCGUGUUUCCUCUUAAGUAUUGAAUGUUAGAGUAUGAUGUUCUUUAUGGAUGUUAGAGUAUGAUGUUCUCUAUGGAUAACCAACUAUGUCUUUUUUGGCUUGGGUAGUUUAUUAAUUUAAGAUAUGUAAAGUAAUUUGAAUGUUAAUUUGUUAUCAUUAUCGAUUUUAGUUAUGUUUAUAUAUUGUGCAUUUAUAUAUUUAAUUUUCAAUUUAAUUUUUAAAUAACGUAUCCAGGCAUAGUAUUGGGAAUUUUGAAAAUUUUCCCGUAUCGCCGUAUCGGUAUCUUAUUGGUAUCGUGUCACGUAUAUGGGCUUCAUAUAUAUCUAGUGCAAUGAAGUUGAAAGGAAAAAAUCAAAGAAAUUAAGCAUCAAAUCCCCAAAAUGAGACAUUUGAGUAUUUCUAUUGUACCUU